UACAGAGGGUGCGAGCGUUGUUCGGAAUUAUUGGGCGUAAAGCGCAUGUAGGUGGUCUUUUAAGCCGCGUGUGAAAGCUCCUGGCUCAACCAGGAAAGUGCGCGCGGGACUGGAGGACUUGAGUCCGGAAGAGGGUGGCGGAAUUCCCGGUGUAGAGGUGAAAUUCGUAGAUAUCGGGAGGAACACCAGAGGCGAAGGCGGCCACCUGGGACGAGACUGACACUGAGACGCGAAAGCGUGGGGAGCAAACAGGAUUAGAA
rnacentral:rRNA from 1 species